GAUGACGAGUGGCGAACGGGUGAGUAUAACAUCGGAACAUACCUUGUAGCGGGGGAUAACGCAGAGAAAUCUGUGCUAAUACCGCAUACACUCUGAGGAGAAAAGCUGGGGACUCGCAAGAGCCUGGCACUACAAGAUUGGCCGAUGCCUGAUUAGAUAGUUGGUGGGGUAAUGGCCUACCAAGUCAACGAUCAGUAGCAGGUCUGAGAGGACGAUCUGCCACACUGGGACUGAGACACGGCCCAGACUCC
rnacentral:rRNA from 1 species